rnacentral:piRNA from 1 species
GAAGUGGAAGAGUAAUGAAGA